CGGAUGUCACCCUUCCCCCCAUUGCCACUAAGUGGCAGCCAUUUCAAAAAUUUUAAACAGUGAUUUUACAUAUAUGCAUGGCAAUUCAUCUUUCUACAAAUUUUCAGAACAUUUGAAGCAUUUUGAAAUUUUUGAAAUUUUUUAUGUUUCCAUGGCAACGGCAGCCAUUUUGAAAAUUCCAACCCCAAAUUCUGCUUCAACACAUGACAGUCAACAUUAUUGUGAAGUUUCAUUAAGAUUAAAGCAUUUUGAAUUUUUUGAAAUUUUUGCUGCUGUAUCCAUG
rnacentral:lncRNA from 1 species